CCGCCGAGCGCCUCUUCGUUCCCUCCGCCUGGAGCCCCUCUAGAGCCACUCGCAGUGCGCGGAGGGUGUCCGCCGGUCUCGCCGUCUCUGUGGUUGUGCGGCGCUCUGCUCGGCCGCCAGCUCUCUGGCGUGUGCGGCGCUCUGUGCGGUCGCGCUGUGCGCUACACGUGGCGCUGUACCCACGCCCGCCCAGCUCUCCGGGGCCGCCGCCGCGGGCACUGCUUUCCCCUCUGCCCGCAGCGCCGGAGCUGCUACCGGCCCGGGAGCUCCGCAUCUAGCAACAGCUCCGCGUCCUGGCGGAGAUCGGGACACCUUAGACUAGACCAGGAUGCUCAAGACCUGAUCCAACCUGCAGGAGCGCCUCCAGGGAGGGAGCAUCCAGAAGCUCCCUGGAACUGAUCCUCUGCUGCUGACAUGGAGUCUAGUGGGGCAAUGACCUCCCCAGAGGUGCUCUGGCCAACUGCCCUCACCCCAGGUGCCCAAUGCUUUGGCAUGCACCUGCUGCUUGACCUGUAGGACCUGACAUGCUGGGAAAGUAAAGGCCUGGGAGCUUGGUGAGGAUUUCCCAGGGACAGUUGGGAUCUGGGAAUUUUCUCCCUCCCUCCUCCACUCGUGGGCUCUUCCUGGGGUCACCAAUGUCUUUAAAUAAAGCAAGAAGCCCACACAA